AUGACUAACGUGACAUGGUGUGAUGAAAGAAACAUACAGGAACUCAAAUCCUUCUGUUCACCUGAUUUAGAAWUCCUCACAAUCAAAUGUAGACCGCAUUAUCUACCAAGAGAAUUCUCUUCGAUUAUAAUCACAGCCGUAUAUAUCCCCCCCCAAGCAGACACAUCGAUGGCUCUGAACGAACUUUAUUUAACUCUCUGCAAACUGGAAACGAUUUAUCCGGAGGCUGCAUUCAUUGUAGCUGGGGAUUUUAACAAGGCUAAUCUGAAAACAAGACUCCCUAAAUUUUAUCAGCAUAUCGAUUGCGCAACCAGGGGUGGAAAGACCUUGGAUCAUUGUUACUCUAACUUCCGCGACGCAUAUAAGGCCCUGCCCCGCCCCCCUUUCGGAAAAGCUGACCACGACUCCAUUUUGUUGAUCCCUGCCUACAGACAGAAACUAAAACAAGAAGCUCCCACGCUGAGGUCUGUCCAACGCUGGUCCGACCAAGCUGACUCCACACUCCAAGACUGCUUCCAUCACGUGGACUGGGAGAUGUUUCGUAUUGCGUCAGACAGCAACAUUGACGAAUACGCUGAUUCGGUGUGCGAGUUCAUUAGAACGUGCGUUGAAGAUGUCGUUCCCAUAGCAACGAUUAAAACAUUCCCUAACCAGAAACCUUGGAUUGAUGGCAGCAUUCGUGUGAAACUGAAGGCACGAACCACUGCUUUUAAUCAGGGCAAGGUGUCUGGUAACAUGGCUGAAUACAAACAGUGCAGCUAUUCCCUCCGCAAGGCUAUCAAACAAGCUAAGCGCCAGUACAGAGACAAAGUAGAAUCUCAAUUCAACGGCUCAGACACAAGAGGCAUGUGGCAGGGUCUACAGUCAAUCACGGACUACAGGAAGAAACCCAGCCCAGUCACGGACCAGGAUGUCUUGCUCCCAGGCAGACUAAAUAACUUUUUUGCCCGCUUUGAGGACAAUACAGUGCCACUGACACGGCCUGCAACGAAAACAUGCGGUCUCUCCUUCACUGCAGCCGAAGUGAGUAAGACAUUUAAACGUGUUAAUCCUUGCAAGGCUGCAUGCCCAGACGGGUGUAUCACAUGUAUCACUAGCCACUUUAACUAUGCCACUUGGUUUACAUACUCAUCUCAUAUGUAUAUACUGUACUCGAUAUCAUCUACCGUAUCUUGCCUAUGCUGCUCUGUACCAUCACUCAUUCAUAUAUCCUUAUGUACAUAUUCUUUAUCCCCUUACACUGUGUAUAAGACAGUAGUUUUUUUUUUUGGAAUUGUUAGUUAG
rnacentral:lncRNA from 1 species